AACCAUCCACAUCAGAGGCUGCACUGACGCUUUCUUCAUCUGGCUAAUGGACAACUACAAGAUUAUGGCUGGACUGUUCUUAGGGAUCCUUCUGCCUCAGUUCUUCGGCGUGAUAGUCAGUUGGCUGUAUAUCACACGUGUUGAAGAUGCCAUCAGUGAGUAUGGUCAAUACAUGGAUGGGCUACUGGCAUCGAACUCGCAGGAAAGAUCAGCCAAAAGGCAUGGCCGUGUGUCCAAAUGGUUUAAAUGUAUGCCGGAUAUUGAUUGACAGAAUCAACCAAAAAGGACCAAAUGGACUCCAACACUCGGUGUUUCCUAACUUGUGCCAAGGCAUCUGUGUAGUUUGACUUUGAACGGUUUUCUACUCUCAUCUACAUUUUUUUUUUUUUUGAUAGUAAGAAUGAAUCAUUCAGCAACUGUAAUACCCACUGUCGAGGAGUUCCCAAUUUUUUUCAUGCUCAGUCAACUAAAGGCAAGCAGAUGUGGGAGUUGACUGACUUUGGUACAACUCUGAAAUAUGCUAUUUCCAACACAUACCAAAUGUUAUUAAGCUACUUUGCCUUAUCUCAGGGAUAAAGAUAAAAACCAGUGCAACCAGUUUUACAUGUAGUUAGUCCUGUCACAGUAUGCAACCAACAGGCCAGUGAUAACAA